CAGACUUGAAGCCAACAUUCUAAGUGGCAGAGGGGAAUCUGGCCAAAUAAAUUCAAGUGAGAUAAGUAACAGCUAUGAUUUAAAUUCAUGUUCCAAUGUAGUAGAGGAUAUAGUACCAACAAUCUUAAAAAAAAAUAAAACCCAAACAAACAGGAAGUGAUUUUUAAAAGGAGGGGAUUUGACAAGUAGAAUGUGUCUAACUUCCUUUUUUUUGAAGACCUGAAAUGCAAAAAGGAAAUACUGAAAAAUAAUAAUGAACUAUAUUCCUGAUCUUUGAGUUUCUGGGAAGAUAGAUUGAUAGUCCAUCAAGAUAAAACAAUAAUUCAUAUCCAUGUUUGUUGACAGUGAGGUUCAAUAGCAUAGCUCUGUGACUUUGCAACUCUAUCCAGCUCCACUGACAGAUUGGCUUCACAUAUAUGCAAGAAUGAAGCUCAUAAGUGAGACACGUCAUGGACAAAUUACAUCUGUGUCCAGAGCAGACACACACAUGAAAAGCCCACUCUGUGAUCCAGUUUACAGCUAUCUUGUGAAAGAAUCGAGAGGGCACUCUGUAGAUUUCAACCUUAAGGAGUCAGAGAAGUGUAGUGGAGUGCUUGGAGAGGGGAGUGAAUAGGUCUCCACGUCAGUAAAACAGGUUUCAAGCCUCACUAAUGACAAACCCUGACUGGAUGAUCCUGGCGACGUCGUUUAGCCUGUCAGUGGCCGAGAGAGGGAAUAAAAACUAUGACUAAUGGACAAAUAUUGGAACCCCCCAAGUCAUUAGAGAGCUAUCCAGAAGUGGGAAUUUGGACUAGCGUGCCGUGAUACUCCAGUUCGAUUUGCUGGAGCAGCACAUAUUUAGAUAAAGAACACUUUACUUUGUGCUAUAAAGAUUACCACUGAGGAUGGGUGUGGUCAAGAUGCUGGCUUAGAAGCAGCAGAAGUUCAGACCUCUGAAAACCCUUCCUUACUGAUCACAAACUGAAUGCUACUAGGAGACUGAAAAUCAAAUCUAACAACAAGAGAGAGCCAAGGAACCCUCCUGCUGGACUCAAUACAAAAGGUUAUAAAGUAAUGAAUGCAACACAGCAAGUUGAAGAAAAAUGACCUUCCUGGUUUCCUAACUUUUGUUUUGGUUCAAUUUCAUUUGUAUGCCAAGUCAUUGCCAUUGACUUUGGAAGUAAUGUCAAGUUUUGAGCUCAGCUUCCAUAAAUGACCCAGACCUAUGAUUUCCCUUUGAUAGAGCCCCACUGGUAUGGAGUUGGAAUUUCAGGAUCACUUUAAGAGAUAAAAUGGGAAUUAUAAGGAAUUUCUAAGACUAGGUACUAUACACAGCUACUAUAAUUGUACGAAAAUUCAACUGUUGACACAGGAAGUUAAAGAAAGACUUAAUCUUGGCCCUGGGUUAUUCUCCCUGGCUUUUGUUCAGAUAUGAUAAUUGAUAGCCUAGAUAUAACAAAGUGCUGUCAGCCUGACCAUAUCAGGAAGAGGCAUCAUACAUAGUCUCAGAAAUAUGCCAGUCAGGAGCCAAGAUAGCCUGGAGAUGUCCAUGAAGAGAAGAAGUCCAGCAGCGGGAAACUUCCUUUGAUGAGACCAGAGAGAUGCAUAGCAGAGGCAACCUAGUGGUAAGAAGAGAUGAAUGCCCAAAGUAGAAAGCAAAGUAUUGAUAUCAAUAAAGGACCUCACUGACCCCGCACCAUUAAAGGUUCAGUUGCCCUGGUCACAUGUUUCCUCUACAGUUGUGUCUUAAAUGGUUAUUCCCUGAAUAAAUGUGUUCCUGUCUCAUUCCUCUUUAUAUAUGGUCCCUAGCCACAUAUAUUCCCCACAUAUGGCUUCCAUGUGUGUCCCUAUUUAUGCAUAUUCUUUGCAUGUGUGCUCUCCCUUUCUGCUAGUAGAAACUGUGGAAUAGAUUAGUCUUCUGUACAAAUGGGAGUGAAUGGAAUCUUUUCUCAUCACUUCAUUUGGUAUGCUAUUUGAUUAAAUGCCUCUUAUGUUUCCUCAAGCUGACUGAUGAAAGUAAACACACUGGUGAGGACCCAUGAGCUAUGUUUUAGAAUGGAUACUGGCUUGCUGAGUUUCUGAAUCUGGGCCACCUUUUCUGGGGGUACAAAUAUGAGGGGAACACUAUUAUCAGUUAUCACCCCCAGACAAGAAAAUAGAGUACAAAAGAUUUUUCUCUUUGUCCAUCUAACAGUGCUUUGCAAACUGAGGUUCUUAAUAAAACAUUCAUUAAAUUGAAUUAAAUUAUGCUUUAGACCAAGAAAAUGUAUUAGAGUAAAUCAAUGUAUCAUUUUAAAAUUUGAAGAUGAAGAGACAUAAUUUUGACCAAGAUCACUAUACCAUUUCUUAUUAGAGCAGAGGAUAUUGUCAUAGAAAUAGUCUUAUUAAGUUACCUCUAGAGUAUUUGUCCUAAUAGACUAAUGAAGUGUUUGAGUGGUAGACUCACAUCAACUGGUAUCAGGUUGUAUUCUUGGAAUUUGGACAGGUCAGGCAAGAAUUCAGGAAUGUAAGGAAGGUCAUAUUUCUUCCACUGCUGAACAUUCUAUAUAUCCAUCAGGUCAGUGUUGCUUUAAUUACUAUAUUUCACUCUUUCCCCAGGUAGAGAGAAACUUUUGCAAGUUUCCCUAGAUUUAGUUUAUUAAAGAGCCACAAUAGUUCAAUCUCAGCAAUAAAAGGCAAUAUUAAAAACUGAGCAACAGUAAGGGAAAUAGAAACAUUUAUAUGUAAUUGGCAAUUUCAUUAUACAUAUGUGCCUCUUUAAAGCUAGAUGUACUAUCAUAGGGCUGAUUAUUUAUAUGGCAGACCUUCAAUAAAUAAUUGUUUAAUUCAACAUGAACCAUGUAUAAUUUUGUAUUAGAAUUUCAUGGUUUGUUAAUUAUGUUGUUAUUAGAUUAGUUUGGUAGACAUAUUUUGAUUCAUUUUUUUUAAAUUCCAAGGUAAAGGAAAUGUAGAAGGAGUUAUUAACACAGUUUAUUACUACACUUGAUAGCAAAAGAAACAAUAAUUCAGCUUUCAAUCUAUAGUACUGUGAUAUUGAAAUCACUUUAAAAGACUGAUAUAUAUUAAUUUAAGGUUGCCAAGGAAUUCACUUAAGUAAUUCCUAAAUGAAACACUCAAGUCAGCUGCCAAAUUUUUAUGGUAUUUUAAUUACAAUAGAAGGAAGAAAGUAUUAGAGGGGAGAGAGAGAGAGAGAGAGAGAGAGAGAGAGAGAGAGAGAGAGAGAGAGAGAGAGAGAGAGAGAGAAGGAAAGAAGUUUAACUCAGAACCACUCUGGUGGGCGUUAAGGCCUUGGAUAGCCAAGGCAGGAAAAGGGAUCAGUCCUUAUCACUCACUUGACCAAUCUGAAGGAAAGCAGUACUCAGGGCUUCUCCAACCUCAAGCACCAGCCUCGAACUGACUCUAGCCCUCCUCACAGGAAGUCCCCAGAACUCCAGAGGCUGUUCUCUACCUCACUUUCUGCGUCUCACAUGUGCCAAUGGUGGCUCUAGCUGGACCUAGGACCACCCAGAGGUCUGUCCUUUUUUUGCACAUGUCUGUUGAAGGCCAUAUUCUCUAAUUAAAUCUUGAGUUUGCUGCAGCCCUUCCUAAUCUUGUUACACUGAGUAGGGUGGAGAAUGUAGUUUCCAAGACCUCAUUCUGUUAUUCCAAGUAUCUCUAUUGUUAUUGAUCAGGAAAUAGCUAAAUCUGAUCUUCUAAAGAAUGGUCUGAAUAGGGUGGAGUAGUUUUGAAAUUCAUAGUACUUAGGAGUAAAACCGCAUUUUUAAGUGUUAAAAAUGGUUAAAAAACUAAGACCACUAGAUAAAUGCAACUUUAUCAUUUCAAUAUAUUUAAAAUCAUAGAAUAUGUGCACAUAGGUAAAGUUUGUAUUUAUGGUCAGUAAUUAAGCAACAUUUCCAUAACCAUAUUACAGUCCUUGAAGAAAUGCAGUGAUAAGAAUCCUUUUAUCUGUUUGGCAUUAUGGGAAAUGAAAGGCAGAGCAGCUAUGUCUAAGUUCAUCCUGAGUCAAUUUCAAAAGCAGUCAUGAAAUCUAGCUUCUAUGGCUUUGAUGUAUUGACCCUACAUAUAUAAAUGUUAGCUUCUGAUAUUUUAUUUGGGAUAAGGAUUCCAUAUUAUAAGAAUAAGCAAAUCUCCACAGUUCUCUAAUUUGCCACCUUUUCAUUGCUCAUUAUGCCAAUAUUUCAUGCCCUUUCAAUGUCAACACGACUAAAUUAUAUCCCAAACUGUAAUGGAAACAUGAAUUCAAAGGAUCAUUUAGGUAUCUUCCAGUUCUAAUGUUCUAUGAAUCUAAGAAUCUCCAAAAAAAUAGAUGAGGAGAUACCAAGAGUCUAGGGACCAAUGGACAUUACCAAAUGGAAGAUGGUUGGUUAUAUUCCUCAAAAUCAAUGUCACCACAAAGAAAGUCAUAAUCUGAUUAUAAGGUCAGAUUGAAACUAUACUCUUUUACUGUAAACUCUCCCGGAUUUACUUUAGAGAUAAAGAGUUGACAGUUGAAGGAUGAUUCCAGACCUUCUUUGAGUUCUAAAUCACAUGGUUAAAUAUUAAUAUUAUUAAUAAUAAUUUCAUUAUUAUUCAUCACUGUUAAUACUGAUAAUAAUUUCUGGCAUUUAUGGAGAUCUCAUUAAGGUUUAUAAAGCACUUUACAAAUACUACCUCUUUUCAUCUUCACUACAACCCUGGGAGGUAAACACUAUAAUUAUCCUCAUUUUAAAAAAAGAAGAAUCUGAGACAAAAAAAAAGCUUAAGUAAGUUGCCCAGAAUCACAUAGCUAACCAAAUAAUGUUUUCCCUUGUGGUUUGAUUGAUUUUGAAGACUACACUAACCAACUUUCACCUGUUUUAUUUUUUUUUUCUAUUAGUUCUUAGAAACUUUGUAUCUCCUCAUUUGUUUUAAGUGUUAUUUGAACUUGGGUCUUCUUGAUUUCAGGGCCAGGGCUCUAGCCACUACACAAUCUGAUUGUCUCAAAUUAAGAAUUGAAACUGAACUUUGUCCUCCAAGGCUAGGUGUUGGUCCAGAAAAGGACUGGAGACCACUAUAGGAAGAGAAGAUCUUUUUAGGAUUAUUAGACCCCUUACUGAAGCAAGGAAAUCCUUUUGUUCUUCAGUAACUGUUCAAAAUUUUCUCUUUUCUUACAUUGCUAUAUCUACCACCCUCAGAUUUAAGAAUUUUGCCUCAUAUUUUGUUGAGAAAAAGGUAUGCCAUUUGAUGUGCUGUCUCCCUUUCCCCCUCCUCUAUAACUUAAAACUCUUUAACAUCAUCUUCUAUUCUCUGCUUUGUUGCUCCAAUCCCUGAACCUUACAGGUUCUCUCUAAGGCAAGAUUAUACUUUGGCAGAAUGAUGAGUAAAGAAAAAUGAAAUUCCAACUAUAAAGAAGGGCAAAAUCAGAGCUACUUUAAUCACCAUUCUGAAUAGCAUCUCUCCCCUUACAUACAUUUACCCUUGAUCUCAUCUUCCUAUGUUCUCUAGCAGAUUUUACCCAGAUCAUCCAACUUCUAAUCUUCAGUCUUUCCCACCCACUGACUCCUUCACUGAUGACUACCAAAUAGAGCUGCAUUUCAUCCAUUUCCUCAACUGAUUUUGGUCUGCAAAACAUGAAAUAAGACUACAACUAGGGGCACAUUCAAAAGAUCUUAGUUGUCCUCUGUCUUCUCUUAAGAUCUGAUACUUUACUAACUGUAUGGCCCUCGGCCCUCAAAAAUACAAUGAGGAUAAUAAAAGCACUUACUUCCCAGGGUUUUGAGAGCAUCAGAUGAGAACAAGUAUUUAUUUGGCAACUACUACGAGCUAGGCACUAUGUUAAGCACUUAUAAAUAUUACAUUAUUUCAAUAUCCCCAUAAUUCUGGUUGUGAUUCACGUAUUUGUUCUUUGGAGACUGCCUUUGACUAGUUAGUCUCAGAUUAAAUAGAUUACACAUCCCUUGAGACCCUAAAUUCAUAAUCCUAUGACCUUAUAAUUCUAUGGAAAGGCUUUAUGCAGAAUGGUGCAUAAGCUGAGCCUUACAGGAAACUGGAUAUUCUAAGAAUGAGACAGAAAGAGGUAAGGUAUGAAGAUCAAAGAUGGGUAACUGCGUAUGAAGAAGAGUAAGAAGGCUACUUUGGGUGAACUGUGGUAAGAGAAAUGAGUAAUAACACUAUGUAGGUUGGGACCCCUUUGUUUGGGCUUUAAAUAACAGCUCGAUUUAUGUUCGGUCUAAGGGGUAAUGGAGAGUCACUGUAGUUUACUGAAUAAAUGACAUGGAAUUUCAUUCCAGGAAAAUCACUUUGGCAGUAGUG